GGAUGAAUCCUUGGAGAGACUCUUAUUGAGCACCGAAGGAGAAAGUCGCAUGGCGAAACUCUCAGGUAAAAGGACAGGGAAAAGGUA
rnacentral:ncRNA from 2 species